rnacentral:rRNA from 1 species
GGAAUUCGAUUUUCCGGUUGAUCCUGCCGGACCUUACUGCUAUCGGGGUGGGACUAAGACAUGCGAGUCGGGCGUCUCAAGCUAUGUUGAGACGCGGCAUACGGCUCAGUAACGCGUGGCUAACCUACCCUCAGGACGGGGAUAAACCCGGGAAACUGGGGCUAAUAUCCGAUAGGCGAGGAAUCCUGGAAUGGUUCUUCACUCAAAAGACUUUGGAAACAUGCUUUCUCUGUCGCCUGGGGAUGGGGCCGCGUCCGAUCAGGUUGUUGGUGAGGUAAUGGCUCACCAAGCCUUUAACCGGUACGGGCCAUGAGAGUGGUAGCCCGGAGAUGGGUACUGAGACAAGGACCCAGGCCCUACGGGGCGCAGCAGUCGCGAAAACUCCGCAAUGCACGAAAGUGUGACGGGGCUACCCCGAGUGCCGUCCGCUGAGGAUGGCUUUUCCUUGGUAUAACUAGCCGGGGGAAUAAGGAGAGGGCAAGACUGGUGUCAGCCGCCGCGGUAAUACCAGCUCUCCGAGUGGUAGGGAUGAUUAUUGGGCUUAAAGCGUCCGUAGCCGGCUUAGCAAGUUUCCUGUUAAAUUCAGCGACCUAAUCGUUGAGCCGCGGGAAAUACUACUAGGCUAGGAGGCGGGAGAGGUCGACGGUACUUCCGGGGUAGGGGUGAAAUCCUAUAAUCCCGGGAGGACCACCAGUGGCGAAGGCUGUCGACUAGAACGCGCUCGACGGUGAGGGACGAAAGCUGGGGGAGCGAACCGGAUUAGAUACCCGGGUAGUCCCAGCUGUAAACGAUGC